GACGAACGCUGACGGCGUGCUUAACACAUGCAAGUCGAAGGGAGUGGCGAACGGGUGAGUAACACGUGAGUAACCUGCCCUUUUCUUUGGGAUAAGCCUGGGAAACUGGGUCUAAUACUGGAUGGAUUGGGAUGGGCUCGCGGCUUAUCAGCUGGUUGGUGGGGUGAUGGCUUACCAAGGCUUUGACGGGUAGCCGGCCUGAGAGGGUGAACGGUCACACUGGGACUGAGAUACGGACGAGACUCCUAAGGGGGGCAGCAGUGGGGGCUAUUGCAGAAUGGAAGAGAGUCUGAUGCGCCUACGGAGUGUGAGAGGUGAAUGCCUUCUGGUUGUAAACUCCUAUCGCCCGCGUAGUGGUAGUGGCUAAAGAGGCGCCAGCUAACUUCGUGCCAGCAGCCGCGGUAGUUC
rnacentral:rRNA from 1 species